CAGGGGUUAGGAUCUCUCAGGGGACACGAUGUAGCUCACAAUUUAUGACCAGAGUCACUAUGGAGAAGGAUAGGAACGGGGGAGUGAAAGUAGGAUGGAGAGGAUAGGAACGGGGGAGUGAAGGUGGGAUGGAGAGGAUUGGAACGGGGGAGUGAAGGUGGGAUGGAGAGGAUAGGAACGGGGGAGUGAAAGUAGGAUGGAGAGGAUAGGAACGGGGGAGUGAAGGUGGGAUGGAGAGGAUUGGAACGGGGGAGUGAAGGUGGGAUGGAGAGGAUUGGAACGGGGGAGUGAAGGUGGGAUGGAGAGGAUAGGAACGGGGGAGUGAAGGUGGGAUGGAGAGGAUAGGAACGGGGUAGUGAAGGUAGGACGGAGAGGAUUGGAACGGGACCUCGGGGGGAGUGAAGGUAGGACGGAGAGGAACGGGGGAGUGAAGGUAGGACGGAGAGGAUUGGAACGGGGGCGUACUCUGAGUUUCCUCUUGGGGGCUUUGUGUUUGGCGGUUGUUGCUCCCCUACGAUGCGUCACAAACUUCCCUGGAGUCGGACUGAGAGAGAGAGAGAGGGGGGAGAGAGAGAGAGACAGGGAGAGAGAGAGGGGGUAGAGAGAGAGAGAGACAGGGAGAGAGAGACAGGGAGAGAGAGAGAGGGAGAGGGGGGUAGAGAGAGAGAGAGACAGG
rnacentral:lncRNA from 1 species